rnacentral:rRNA from 1 species
GACGAGCGCUGGCGGCGUGCUUAACACAUGCAAGUCGAACGGAAAGGCCCUGCUUUUGUGGGGUGCUCGAGUGGCGAACGGGUGAGUAAAACGUGAGUAACCUGCCCUUGACUUUGGGAUAAAUUCAGGAAACUGGGGCUAAUACCGGAUAGGAGCUCCUGCUGCAUGGUGGGGGUUGGAAAGUUUCGGCGGUUGGGGAUGGACUCGCGGCUUAUCAGCUUGUUGGUGGGGUAGUGGCUUACCAAGGCUUUGACGGGUAGCCGGCCUGAGAGGGUGAACGGCGACAUUGGGACUGAGAUACGGCCCAGACGCCUACGGGAGGCAGCAGUGGGGAAUAUUGCACAAUGGGCGGGAGCCUGAUGCAGCGACGCCGGGUGCGGGAUACCGGGCUUCGGGUUGUAAACCAAUUUCGCCUGUGACGAAGAGUGAGUGACGGUAAUGGGUAAAGAAGCACCGGCUAACUACGUG